AACCAACAGGGAUUACCUUAGUAACGGCGAGUGAACAGGUAAGAGCUCAGAUUUGAAAGCCUUUUUGGCAUUGUAUUCUGAAGUCGGGUUCCUGAGUAUCGGUGCCUAAGUCUCCUGGAAAGGAGCGCCAUGGAGGGUGAUAGCCCCGUGUGGUACCUCACUCAUUGUAGGAGUCCGACAUGGAGUCGAGUUGUUUGGGAAUGCAGCUCAAACGGGUGGUAUGCUCCAUCUAAAGCUAAAUAUCUGUGAGAGACCGAUAGCGAACAAGUACUGUGAAGGAAAGAUGAAAAGAACUUUGAAAAGAGAGUGAAAUAGUACGUGAAAUUGUUGAAAUGGAAGGAUAGGCUGCUAACCAUGUAGAGCCGUGUUUGGGGGGAAGAUAAACGCUAAAGAAUGUGGCUCCUCGGAGUGUUAUAGCUUUAGCCCAUAUUCCCAUCCGAGCGCGAGGUUCUCAGGCUCUACUAAAUGGUAGUCUAUCACCCGUCUUGAAACA
rnacentral:rRNA from 2 species